GACGCAUCCUGAUCAUUCUUCUCUUCUUUACCUGCUUUGUACAGAUCAGAUUCCCCAGGUUACAGCACAAAAUAUUCAUGCUACAGUUUCAUGGAUGACUCCACAAAGAAAAUAGUUAUGUCUGAUCUGGUUCAGGUUUCUGAGACCACAAGCACACCUGUGAUGGAGCCAGUGGGCUUCCACAGGGGGUUGGAUCAUUUACUAGCCUCUAGAGUGUCUGUGGAUAUUGUCACUACAGACCAUGCUCCUUCAAUAAGGAAGAUCAUGAGGGAGUCCUACCCUGACCUCAGACAUCAUUUGAUGCAUGGCAUGUAGCCAAAGAAUGACCGGACCAGAAAUGGAUCCACCAGACAGUGUACAGGUUUGUAGGCUGGGGAACAAAUUGGUGGAGGUUUUGAGCGGCAAGCCUGACACAGGGGAGAAGCUAAGGGCCAUAGCAGAUUUUGAUGAAGAACUGUUUAUUAGGCCUUGGUUGAAGGAACUCCCUUGUGUCGCACUUGUUAUAGCACAGCUGGCUAAAUUCAGAAAGGCUUUGGUUGCAAACCUCUAUGGCGUGGACUCUCAGGUGGUGGCAAGCCACCAUGCUUCAGCCACAGUCAAGCUACCAGCCCAAACCCACGCUGCAGUCACAGCCUGGCUACCAACCCAGGACUCAGUCUAAACCCCUGUACCUACCAGUGGCUCUCAGUCGGCGGCCCGGUCAACACCUGCCAGUGGCCUUCAGUCGGCGGUCCAGAUGGCACCAGUCCAUGAACCUCGGUCCCACGCCAAGUCUAGUGCUUGCUCCUCAGUCGGAGGCCCAGCCGAGUCGAGUUCCUGCACCUCGGUCGGAGGCCCGGCCGAGUCUCACAUCAAGUCCAGUGCCUGCUCCUCGGUCGGGGGCCCAGCCGAGGUCGUUUGUUGCCAGAGAACCUUCAUUGGCUCACAGGUCACCAGCUCCUGGCAAAACUCUGGUGGUGGCCAAGACCCUGGAGGGUUUCCCAGCCAGUGGUCUGGUCGCUAGUGGGUCCCAGCCUAUGCCUUCGCCACCGGCCUCCAGUGGGUCUCGGCCCACGCCUUCGCCUUAGUUGCCAGCCUCCAGGGGGUUCCAGCCCGCACCUACACCUUCGUCGCCGGCCUCCAGCGAGUUCCAGGCCGCACAUACGCCUUCGUCGCCGGCCUCCCACGGGAUCCAGCCUGCGCCUACGCCUUUGUCACAGACCUCCAGAGCGCCUUCGCCUUCGUCGCCGGCCCCCAGAACGCCUUCAUGUUCGUUCCUGGCCUCUAGUGGGUCCCAGCCCACGUUCCCAGCCUCUAGUGCAGUGGUGUCAAACUGAUCCAGUAAAGGGCCAUGUGGCUGCAGGUUUUCAUUCCAACCAAGCAAGAACACACCUGAUAUGGAUCAGCCAACCAAGCAAGAACACACCUGAUUUGGAUCAGCCAACCAAUCAGCCAACCAAGCAAGAACACACCUGAUUACUGGAUCAGUUUGAUACCACUGCUCUAGUGGGUCCCAGUCCACAUCCCUGGCCUCCAGUGGGUCCCAGUACUUGCCUCCACCCUCCUGUUUGUUUGGACCUCGUUUUCCCUUUUUCCUCCAACCUGACACAAAUUUCUAAUUUGAAAUUUUGUAGAUAUUCUGAAAUAUGAGCCUAUAGACUCAGUCCCAUGAGUUUGUCCAAACAGAUUCUUUUCUUGAACUUCUAUUUAUGUUAGUUUGAAAAAAAAAUGCAAGAGCAGCAGCAAGAAAAAGAGAACAUGGAAUUGCAAGCAUGGAUCAAGUUGAGCGGAAAUCAAAUUUGGUGGUCUUGCAGUUCUUGUGGCCCUAAAGAACACUGUGAUGGACAAGACCCUCCUGAAGGACGAGUCGCGUGACCUUGUCCAAGCACACAGGGGAGCUAGAGGUUUACCACAGCUCAGUGCUAAAGUAUGCAGAGAAGGGGAGGCACUUCAAGUAUACUUCCAUGCAGGCCGGAACUCAGCUCAGUGUCAUGGACCCCAACUACAAUGUUGGCCGGGAACAUGCAACUACCCUUGAUGAACAUGCUGAAUCAAAUGAAGUAUAAGUAAUCAAUACUGUUUCUAGCCAAGGUUCAGAGAAAUACAACAUCUUUCACUCAAAGCUGUCAAGUCAGUAAAUGGUCAGAAAUAUAUAUGAGCCGACCUGUCGGGGCUUUGGAGAAGACCUCGUGGAAUGUGUCUUCCAGUGUAGACGGGCCAGUAUCCAUCCAACCAGCCCAUGUAGCUCCCACUCCAAAGCCUGAUAAAGACUCAUUGCUGACACAAAAUAUAUCAUGUUUCAAAAGCUGAGUUGCAUCAUGUUGUGAAUAAAAAGAUGACUGUGUUUGUA